GACGAACGCUGGCGGCGUGCCUAACACAUGCAAGUCGAGCGGGGUUGAAGCGAGAGGUAACUCGAACUUCUACCUAGCGGCGGACGGGUGAGUAACGCGUGGGCAACCUGCCUCAAGGUCUGGGAUAACAGCCCGAAAGGGCCGCUAAUACUGGGUAUGCUUGUGGCCUCGCAUGGGGCUAUGAGCAAAGGGGAAACCCGCCUUGAGAUGGGCCCGCGUCCCAUCAGCUAGUUGGUGAGGUAACAGCUCACCAAGGCGACGACGGGUAGCCGGCCUGAGAGGGUGACCGGCCACACUGGGACUGAGACACGGCCCAGACUCCUACGGGGGGCAGCAGUGGGGGAUCUUGCACAAUGGGCGAAAGCCUGAUGCAGCGACGCCGCGUGAGCGAAGAAGGCCUGGUUGUAAAGCUCUGUCUGGAGGGACGGAAGGAAGUGACGGUACCUCCGGAGGAAGCCACGGCUAACUACGUG
rnacentral:rRNA from 1 species